CCAUGAGGCUCACAGGGAGGUCACCAUGAGGCUUAGAGGAAGGUCACAAUGAGGAAGGUCACCAUGAGACUCACAGGGAGGUCACUAUGAGGCUCAGAGGGAGGUCACCAUGAGGCUCAGAGGGAGGUCACCCUUGGGGCUUAGAAGUAAGGUGGACCCAUGAGGCUUAGAGGGAGGUAGACGCAGCUGUGUUGGGUGUUUGGGGCAUGUCACCUGUCACUCUGGAGUGUGAUGGGUCCCUGGACUAGUGUAUCCCACCCGCAGGGACUGUCCCUAGCUGUCAUUCAUGGGCUCCGCCCAAGCCUGCCGAACCCGUGAUAGAGAGCGGGCAGCAGCCUGUGCUCCACUGAGCCCUGGACCGGUCCCCUGAGCUGGAGCCCCGGCUGGGCUGAGCCUGCGGGGCCGGUCAGGAAGCCCCAAACGAUCAGGUGCUUCCAGGGAAGCAGGGUGUCCCUCAAAGGGACCCAGAUCCCCCAACACGUCCAACGUACCCUGAAAACCUGGAUGGCACCCCAUGGACCCUGUGUCUUGAAAAUUUGCAAAUCAUCCAGAGAAAAACAGAGCAGUGGACAGUCGCCGUGCUCCAACUGCCCUGCUCUCCAGGACGAAGAACUGGAGCCGGGUUGGUUCACGCAGCAGGUGACUUGAAGAACUGCUGCUGUGGAUGUCACCGGGAGCCUCUGCAGAGCCAGGCACUGAUUCUGGUCACUCUCCACCAGAGACCCACCGAGGCUGGGCUGGAGAACGGGCAGCUGCUGAGGGUUUCGGCUUCUGCGACACACGUGGCUACGAACGGCAGGGCAGAGAACACUGGUCACUCUGAGACUUGAGAAACACUCCCUGGGCCUAGGGACACAGCCAGUGCCUGUCAGCUCCUUCUCGGUGCUCAGCAGAAGAGGACCUGGGAGAAAGAGUGGAUAAGUAAAUGUGUAACUGGGUAGACAGAUGAUGGACAGGUGGAUGGGUGGGUGGGUGUGAAUGGAUCGAUGGAUGGUUGAGUGGAUGGAUGGAGUGUGGGUGGUGGGUGUGGAUGAAUAGGUGAGUGGGUAGAUAGAUGGAUGAAAGCAUGGAUAGAUGGGAGAAUAGAUGGAUAGGUGUGAAUAAAUGCAUGCAUAGGUGAAGGGGUGGAUGGAUGGUUGCAGAUAGAUGAGUAUGAAUGGAUGGCUGGGUGGAUGGAUGGAUGGAUGGAUGGAUGGAUGGAUGGAUGGA